CUGCCAUUCUAAAAAAAAAUUUUGUAAAUUUUUACUCUAAAAUAAUGGCAAU
rnacentral:tRNA from 1 species